UUUAAUUGAAGAGUUUGAUCAUGGCUCAGAUUGAACGCUGGCGGCAGGCCUAACACAUGCAAGUCGAGCGGUAACAGGAGAAAGCUUGCUUUCUUGCUG
rnacentral:rRNA from 1 species